rnacentral:rRNA from 1 species
AUGAACGCUGGCGGCGUGCCUCAUACAUGCCAGUCGAGCGAACAGACGAGGAGCUUGCUCCUUUGACGUUAGCGGCGGACGGGUGAGUAACACGUGGAUAACCUACCUAUAAGACUGGGAUAACUUCGGGAAACCGGAGCUAAUACCGGAUAACAUGUUGAACCGCAUGGUUCAACAGUGAAAGACGGUCUUGCUGUCACUUAUAGAUGGAUCCGCGCCGCAUUAGCUAGUUGGUAAGGUAACGGCUUACCAAGGCAACGAUGCGUAGCCGACCUGAGAGGGUGAUCGGCCACACUGGAACUGAGACACGGUCCAGACUCCUACGGGAGGCAGCAGUAGGGAAUCUUCCGCAAUGGGCGAAAGCCUGACGGAGCAACGCCGCGUGAGUGAAGAAGGUCUUCGGAUCGUAAAACUCUGUUAUUAGGGAAGAACAAAUGUGUAAGUAACUAUGCACGUCUUGACGGUACCUAAUCAGAAAGCCACGGCUAACUACGUG